rnacentral:tRNA from 1 species
ACAUUGGUAGUUCAGUGGCAGAAUUCUUUCCUGCCAUGUGAGAGGCCCAGGUUCUUUUCCUUGCCUAUGCA